GAGGUCAGAAGUUUCUGAUGAUGUAACAUACAAUACAGACCAAGCCUUCACUUAUCAAGGUUAAAGUUGACGGAGCCUGUAUGAACUUGUCAAUCAUAGGAAGCAGGCAAAAACAAGCCAGCUGUUGUGAGGCAUGGCUUUGAAAAUCCUCUGUGUUACAGUAAAUGAGACGCAGAGGUUGAGACGGAUUCAGUUCUGUGAGGCUUUCAAACGGGCUGGCACAUUUGCAAGGAUGCAAAGCUCGCGUAUCCAGUGACUAUGGAUAAACAUCUGUAAAUCCUGGUCUUUGAGUACACGCUGUCUUCUGUCCCUAUCAGCAGAAGCUACAGUAACAAAUUAGGAGGGAUGCAAUGCUGGGUACAGGACUGUAUUUUGCUUAGGAGAAACGCCUGCUGUAUUCGCUGAUGUUUUAGGAGAACGGGGAAGACGUGAGCUGAUUCCAGCUAAGAUGCUCUGUGUGCUUGUGUUCGCGCACACGCGCUGUUUUUAGCAGCUUUUGUUUUCACAGUUGGCAUAAUGCACGCUGGAAUGAGAAGGCAGCGCCGUUCAGAAACAUUUGUUUUCUGGACCAAGGGCUGCAGUGCCGUCAUGCUGGCUGGGGUGCCAGGCUCGGGGUUCCUCUCGGCGAGGGGUGGUGCGAGAGCUUUUCAUCUUGUCGUUUUCCUGGCAAGCGUGUCGCUGUGAGUGCAGGCUCGCACGAAGACCUUUCCACAGCAGCAGGAGAUAGUGGCUGGGAGCGUAAGAGAAUUGGAUGUGACUAUUGGAAGCAAGGGGUUCUUGCCACUGUGUCCUCCUGGGGCUUGAAGCUUGCUUUCUUUUCCUCCUUUCUGAACACUUCUUUUCUAAGCUCACAGUGUCUCUUCAGUCUCCUUUAAGCAGAGAGCAAACCUGGCUCCUUUCAGGGCUCCAGAG